GAGGACCCAAGAGCGUGCAGCAAGAGCAGUGGCUGAUUUGAAUCAGCGUGACUUUCUAACACAGCAUGAGCAAGAAGAGAAGCGUAGGAUUGCUGAAUCUUUAGAUAUUGAUAUCAAGCGCUGGGCUGCAGGAAAGGAAGGGAAUAUGCGUGCACUGUUAUCAUCAUUGCAAUAUGUUCUUUGGUCCGGAUGUGGUUGGGAGCCAGUUUCAUUGACAGAGAUGAUUACUUCAACCUCAGUCAAAAAAGUUUAUAGGAAGGCAGUCUUGUGCAUUCAUCCAGAUAAGGUUCAACAGAAGGGUGCCAGUAUUGAACAGAAAUAU
rnacentral:misc_RNA from 1 species